rnacentral:rRNA from 1 species
AUUGAACGCUGGCGGCAGGCCUAACACAUGCAAGUCGAACGAGUGGCGGACGGGUGAGUAAUGUCUGGGAAAAUGCCCGAUGGAGGGGGAUAAAUACUGGAAACGGUAGCUAAUACCGCGUACCCUCGGAUGUGCCCAGAUGGGCUUAGCUUGUAGUUGAGGUAAAGGCUCACCUAGGCGCCGAUCCCUAGCUGUUCUGUGAGGAUGACCAGCCACACUGGAACGGAGAUACGGUCCAGACUCCUGCGGGAGGCAGCAGUGGGGAAUAUUGCACAAUGGGCGCAAGCCUUGUGCAGCCGUGCCGCGUGUAUGAAGAAGGCCUUCGGGUUGUAAAGUACUUUCAGCGGGGGGGCGUUACCCGCAGAAGAAGCACCGGCUAACUCCGUGCCAGCAGCCGCGGUAAUUC